CCGAACGGGCUGUACGUGGUUUAUGCGAACCACUGGUUGGGUCUUCAAUCCUGCAAGCGAAGCUUGAAGCUCGUCAGUUUGCCCGUUCUGAAAGCGUAUUCCGACGUGCCCCAAAAGAGUUUCGAGUUGACCCAAAGAAACUGAGGGAUAAGGCACAGAGAAAUGAGGUACUUAUAAGAAAAGCAAAAGAACUUCAUUUAUCAUCUUAUGUGCUUACAUGUGCCUAUGUCUACGUUUUCCUGGUGAAAGCAACGGGAGAGGAAGGUGAUGCAACUGUUAUGUUGUAUGUUGAAGCAGAUUGUAGAAGCUAGUUGGAUCCUCCUAUUCCGACUAAUUAUUUUGGUAACUGUGUUAGUG
rnacentral:lncRNA from 1 species